rnacentral:siRNA from 1 species
AUGCCUGUUAGGUUAGCUCUCGUC